rnacentral:rRNA from 1 species
GAUUGCUCAGUAACACGUGGACAACCUGCCCUGAGGACUGGAAUAAUCCCGGGAAACUGGGGGUAAUUCCAGAUAUGUCAGAACUCCUGGAAUGGGUUCUGGCAGAAAGGCUCCGGCGCCUCAGGAUGGGUCUGCGGCCUAUCAGGGUAGUAGUGGGUGUAACGUACCUACUAGCCUACGACGGGUACGGGUUGUGAGAGCAAGAGCCCGGAGAUGGAUUCUGAGACAUGAAUCCAGGCCCUACGGGGUGCAGCAGGCGCGAAAACUUUACAAUGCGGGCAACCGCGAUAAGGGGACCUCGAGUGCUGGGUUACAAACCUGGCUGUUGGGCUGCCUAAAAAGCAGUCUAUAGCAAGGGCCGGGCAAGACCGGUGCCAGCCGCCGCGGUAACACCGGCGGCUCGAGUGGUAACCGCUGUUAUUGGGUCUAAAGGGUCUGUAGCCUGCCGGCUAAGUCUCUUGGGAAAUCUGGCAUCUCAAGUGUCAGGCUGCCAGGGGAUACUGGUCAGCUUGGGACCGGGAGAGGUGAGAGGUACCUCAGGGGUAGGGGUGAAAUCUUGUAAUCCUUGAGGGACCACCAGUGGCGAAGGCGUCUCACCAGAACGGAUCCAACGGCAAGGGACGAAAGCUAGGGGCACGAACCGGAUUAGAUACCCGGGUAGUCCUAGCCGUAAACGAUACUCGCUAGGUGUCGGCCACGGUGCGACCGUGGUCGGUGCCGUAGGGAAGCCGUGAAGCGAGCCACCUGGGAAGUACGGCCGCAAGGCUGAAACUUAAAGGAAUUGGCGGGG